CCAGCCCUACGGGGGGCAGCAGUGGGGAAUAUUGCACAAUGGGGGAAACCCUGAUGCAGCGACGCCGCGUGAGUGAAGAAGUAUUUCGGUAUGUAAAGCUCUAUCAGCAGGGAAGAUAAUGACGGUACCUGAGUAAGAAGCCCCGGCUAACUACGUGCCAGCAGCCGCGGUAAUACGUAGGGGGCAAGCGUUAUCCGGAUUUACUGGGUGUAAAGGGAGUGUAGGCGGGAUGGUAAGUUAGGUGUGAAAUGCGGAGGCUCAACCUCCGAGCUGCACUUAAAACUGCUGUUCUUGAGUGAAGUAGG
rnacentral:rRNA from 1 species